rnacentral:hammerhead_ribozyme from 1 species
GCACUGCUGAGGAGUCCCACGAUAAGGCGAAACGACCGUCCAGUGC